rnacentral:lncRNA from 1 species
UGGCAGUUAUGCUGCCAUUCUAGUUAAUGUCGGAGUGAUUCCUUCUUUUAGGCGACAUAGCUUUUUAUCCGCUUUCCCACAAAUAACGCCAUGCUGUUAAUGCCAAAAUCCUGUCCAACUAUGGAAGUUUGGAGAGUGCUAGUCAAUCCAUGAAGAUAUGUUGAUCUGCAUACAAAAGAAGAGAAAAUCUUGCCAGAUUGGCUCCAGUCGGGCCCUCUGAUACUUAAGUCGGGAAGGGUUUUGGAAUAACAUUAGAAAAUAAAAAAUAUAAGAAAAAGAUUAGUAUGUAAUAUUGUCUUUUUCUGAUUGGCCUCCUCUAGUCGGCCUCGGGCUCCUCACCUCGGUCGCUGGCUUCUCACCUAGGUCAUGGGCUCCUUACCUUUGCCUUCUCAUCUCAGCCUCGGCUUUUACCUUACCUCGACCUUAGCCUUCAUCUUGGCCUCGGCCUUCUCUCCAGCAUUGGCAGCUCAUAGACCUACUGAGCUGCAAGAAAGAAAAGCAGACAAUGGAUCAGGACUUGAGAGCCUCUCACCAUAAGAUCUUUGAGCUAUGAGAAUUUCUAGCUAUAAGAGCUCCUCCCUUUGAGGUCCCUUGGACUUGUUUAUAUAAGCGAAGGAGCAUGAGUGUGUUAUAGUUGGAGGCAAAAAUCAAGAGAUGAGCUAUAACUCCUUCCUUAUGAGCUAUGACCAUCAUUCUGUUUCUAGAUCUUCUUAAUUGUAGAGUUGUAACUACUCCAAAAUCAAUUUUUUUCAAAAUUGCUUGCCACCUGUCUAUCCAUGAUACGGAUGUUGGUCCUAUGCCAUAUUAACAAAUAUUUUUACAGAAAAGGUUGAUUAGAACCUACUCUACCGAAUUUCAAGUUAAAUCUAAUCAAUCCUAAUUGGAUGGAUUUUUGACGCCAAUGAGAAACAAUUCGAUAUAUUUUUUAUCUCUAAAUAGAAAAAUUAUAUAAUUUGGAUACUCCAAAUCUAUACAUAAAAUUUUAGAAAAAAAAGAUAAUUUAAAUAAGAUGAAAUAAUGUAUAUCUUUUAACCACUUGAUUCAUAGGCUAGAGGUUCCUAAAUCAUAUGAUAUUUGAUAUUUAAGUGCUUAGACAUAAUAGAUAAUGUCUACUAGCUUGGAUUAUAGGUAUCAAACCCUUAUCAUCCGACUAGCACUGACUGAGACUGACUUAAAAUUUGGUCAAUCGGAUUCUAGUUCACUUCUUUUUACCAAUGUUGCUAGUAUUCAGGUAAUAUUUUUAUAAUCUUAGGCCAAAUAGAUUUUUAAAACCUAAUCCCCAAUCUCCAAGCCAUAGUACACUAGGUCAUCGACUACUCCAAAAUAAUUAAAAGUCACUAAUACACACAAAUAUGUGCUUUUCACUAUCUCAUCACCUUUACAUCCAUAAUACCUAUCCUACUUGUUGCUAGAAUUUGGACUCGGUGGCGACCGCGGACCGAGGUGGAGGAGCUCCGGCUGGUGGUACGACGGCUGAUGGCUGUCUCCGGCGGACCUGCAAGAAGCCUGCGGGCUGGGGGUUCCAGCGCAGGCCCUCCAAUGCUUAAGUUAGAGGGAAUUUUUAAUGGAGAGGGAUAAUAAUGAGAAGUAACAGAGAGAAGUGAUGGCCCGGGAAGGAAGCCCAAAAGUCC